UCCCUCCAGACCGGGUCCCGACCCCCUGCACACACAGCCCCACCGCGCGGGACCUGAGGACCGCCCGGGGCACAGGCGUGGGCGGCUCUGAUUGGUUCCGGGAACUGGUUCCGGGGUCAGACCGGCUCCCGCCCGCACACGAGACUCCUUCCGAGGUCAGCCGGGCCUAUUUAAGCGGGCCUCCCCCGCGGUGUCUGUGACGGCGCAGAGGGCGCUGAGGGCCGCGGCCUGGCUGCGAGGCCUGCGGAUGGGAACCUGGCGAAACUGACAGAAACUGGCGAAGGGGAGAACGCUUUUAUUAUUAUUAUUAUUUUUAUUUAUUUAUUUCUUUAAAGAUUGUGUUUAUUUAUUCACGAAAGACAUGGGCAGAGGGACAAGCAGGCUCCCUGCGGGGAGCCCAGUGCGGGACUCGAUCCCGGGACCCUGGGGUCACGACCUGGGUAGAAGCCCACCGCUGAGCUACUUGGGGGGUCUGGAAAUUAGGAAUUCGUAGGAAGACCGGCGCUCCCGGGUGUCCGCGGGGCCUCAGCGAGACAGGCUGAAGUUUCUGAGCACAUUUGUAAGUCAAGACCAUUUCCUCAGCUCUUUCUCCCCUCCAUUAUGAGAUGUUGUCCUACUGAAUAAUGCCAAGCAUAUGCUACCAUUGUUCUCUUGAAAUUGCAGAUCAAAAUACUUGAGUGGCAUGCCAUCCAAGUCCAAAGGGGAAACAACUGACAAAAGUGAGAGUGGCUAAGAGCCAAAAUGAUCAACUGACAGGAAAAUAUCAAUCUCUUGCAACAAUGAGUGAAAUCAGAGGAUAAUUAUCUUUCCCUGAUUUCACUUAGCAUAAUACUCCCAGUUACAUCCACAUCAUUGGAAAUGGUUGAACUUUUGAUAGCUUUUUGUUGUGUUUUUGAUGAUUCAACCACUGAAUCCGUCUGACAUCUCCAAUAUUCUCAUAUACAGCUUUGUUAAGGCACACAGUGAGAGAGAGAGAGGCAGAGACACAGGCAGAGGGAGAAGCAGGGUCCAUGCACCGGGAGCCCGACGUGGGAUUCGAUCCCGGGUCUCCAGGAUCGCGCCCUGGGCCAAAGGCAGACGCCAAACCGCUGCGCCACCCAGGGAUCCCAGAUGAAUUCUUUAUUAAUUCCAGGAGGAAAAUAAAGUCAAUUUACCAACA